UAAUGAGGGGAAGGAGGGCAGAGCCAGGCCUUUGUGUCUGGCCAGCAGUUAGGAGAGGAUUCCUUACAGGGAAAAGGCUCUUCACCCAUUUCCUGCUGGGGUUUUUACCACAGUUCUUAUGUUGUCUCUUACCUGGUACGAACACUCCAAACAAAACAACGUCCAGGACCUGGAGAGGAAAAGCACUGAACAGCCCUACAAACACUGCAAGCUGGAUAUUUUCUUGAUGAUCUCUGACCAGACUGGCUAAAGAUGUGGACACCAAGCAGCUCUUAACUGCCAGGAUAUAGAAUCUUUGGGCUUUAUUGUUCUUUAUUGUUCAACACAGGCACACUGGAGAACUCUCUUCAUUUAGGCACCACAAAGAGCUCAAGGUCCACUUUAUGCUUCCCUUCCAAGGCUGGCACGUGCUGUUAGGAGCCACAUGACACUGAGGGGGAACCAGUAGCCAUGCAGCUGUUUUCAAAGCAGAUCCUCGUGUCCUGAAGCACCCACAGGACUGACACUGGGAAAACCACAAUGGUACUUAAGGAACUCUGUGCUUUAGGGUCACAAAGACACACCUACCAGUGGGGAUGGUUUCUGGCAUGCUAUUUUUUGAAUGAAGUUUAAAAUAUUCUAACACACAUGAUAGAUACCACAGAUAAUACAUUUUAUCCAGAAGUCAUAUAUCCUCAUGUACAUACUCUUUUAAAUAUUCUUUAGUUGCUUUGUCUUUUUAUUUAUAAUCACUUUUGUAUAAAUUUCUCUCUGCUAUUAGUUUGAAACAAACAUGCAGUACUUAUUAAAAAAUCAUUGACUGUAUAUGAGGGGUAUAUGAAUAGCUAACUUCUGAUGCAAUGUAUAUGUCAAGAAACUGUUACAGGGCAAAUAAUCAGAAAAAUAACAGUAUUUUCAUCAAGAAAUGUCCACCUUGAAAAGAUUUCUACUACUUCUCCUGAAACAACUUCAACCAUAAAUACCAAUGGUAGAGAUCAGCAAACACAAAGAGCCUCCUUUAAAGUCUUCUACCAUCACUUCAAAUUAUAUUUUGAAUUUCCCGUUUCACAAAUAAAGGAAAUUCAUAUCUAGAAUACUGUUGCUGCCCAUGCCCCUUCAUGAAGAACACUAGACAGGCUUGUUCAUAAACAGAAAAUGCCUGAGUAACCAGAAACUGAUCCACAGUUUCUGGAUCGUCUUGAAUGUGAAUCAGGCUUGCAGACUUAUCACGCGAUGUUUAAAUAGAAAACGUACUUCAGUUUCAAAAAUGAAAAUGGACUUUGCCAAGUUCUGCAACAGUUCUGUCCCAAAAGGAUAGCAUGUUCAACUUAAUAUAAACAGAUUAUCCCGCUGGACCCUCUGAGUACUUGUAUUUCAGAGUUUCUUAAGUCUGUAACAUUUAUGCUUAUUUUCUGCCAGUACUAGAGUCUGCAAACCUGCUUUGCAAAUUAACCUUCAAAUAUGAAAGCUUAUCCUUAGGAAACAGAUCUCAGUAGCAGACUGCAAAAUAAAUAAAGGCAAUUGGUCAUGCAAGCCUUAAUAUAAGAAAGGAUAUAUUGUAAAGAAACCUAAUCUAUAUCUCUACAGUCAGUGCAAUUUAAAUGCCCAUAUUACUGAGCAAUGCAAAAUUGAAAAUACUCAUGUUACUGCACACAUAAGUAAUUUAUUUGGGUCUAUGCAUAGGAGCAGGGGGCGGUUUAGGACCUGUGAAUUGUAAUAAAGUGAUUUGUGGCACUGAUUGUUCUGAAUAUUGUUAUUUUGAAGCCUCCAGUGGCAGGUCUGAGCAGGCUUUUCAGCAGUCUGCAGUCCUCAUCUAUUGGAUCAUCCUGUGGGGUGACCUAGAUGGCCUAUCCUGAGGCAAACUUCAUGUGCUUUAAAAAGCACAUUUACUCAUAAUUUGGGCUGGCUGUGGUGACCUGUUCCUGACUUGCCAUCACUGUUUAUCCCAUCUGCCCUUCCAGAAAUAUCAUUAGAUUAACAUUGAGCAGAGAAAAUACUUUUAUUUCUCCCCUCAAAGAGCCAUGAAUUCUGUGAAUUCUGUGCGCCACCUGCAAACAGCAGGUGAGAUCUGCAGGAUCCUCGAUGGUGAGCUGGGGCUGCCUCCCAGGGCAGCCCUGGUGACCAGCACUUGUUUUCACAAGAGCUGGGUUUUCAGGCCAGGCUGGAGAGGGGAGCUCCCCAGGGAGAGGGCAGACAGGAAAAGGUCUGGGAGGUUGAGCUCCCGCCUUUUCCGUAAGUGUGCCCCCUCCUGCACAGCUGCACUUGGAACUCAGGACAUUCUGAAAAUCCCAUUCAAAUUCCAAACCCUGAAAACCGGGAUGAGUAAUGGUUCUUAAUGGAUUGUUUCUUCUGUAUGCUGUUUACUUGGCUUUUGCAUUUUCUUUUGCCUACUGCAUGAGUCAGCUUCACUCAGCUGCUGUGCGCAAAUUACAGGUUUUCAACUUUAAUGAAGGUCCAUGUUUUUUAAAUGCUUCCACAGAAAGGAGUUAAGAUAUGAUCUUUAUGUCCUAAAAAAAAAAACCAAACAACAACCUCCAAACCUUUUUCAAAGCAGAUUUUAAUUAAAUAAUUCCAUUGGAAAGCAUUCCUUUUUACCUCAAAAUACAGAAAUGUCAUCCUGAUAAUGUUUGAUCACGACUUUCCGAAGCAAUUAUUUGCUAUUGUAAUUUGUUUUACAGAGAUGAAAAUAUGCUCUGCCAAUAUUUUAAAGAAAACCCACUCAUAUUUCCUCUUCAAGUUUUAACAUAAAAAUAUUUAACUUUAUAUUAAAAAAAAGCUAUAGAAUGUAGGGCAACAUUUAGAGAGUAAAUAGGUAUUCUUGUUGUAUUUUCCUUCUACAUUAAUUUCAUAAAUUAAAUGGAUUUGGCUUACCUGAAUACCCUUCAGUCCACACAGGAAGUAGUUAUGCCACUGAGGUUUGGUUUUGUUAAUCUGAAUGUUAUUAACACUAGUACUGAAAUCCCUGCAAAAACAGAAAAACCUUAAGGCUUUAAUUUGUAUUAAAUUUAGUUUGAAAAAACAUGGCUUGUUACUGCCACCUGCUGAUGGACAAAACUGGUUUGAUGGUUUUCAGUGCAAUGUUCUCUGGCUUGGUUUCUUGUUUGAUCUUUUUACAUAUCUUCUUUAGUAAUCAUUUCUAUAUGGUUAUUUUAGAUGAAAGCAUAAGAAUUCUUGAGUAAGUAUAAAGAAUAUAUUAAAUAAAUCCAGAAAUUAAGCUGCCUUUGACAUCCUUAAUUAAGGCAGGAUGCCUCCUAUCAUGUAUGUGUAUGUUAUCAUUACUUUUUAGAAGUGGAAAUUCAAAUAGUCAUAUCUGUCAAACCAUGACUAGAGACAGAUAAACUUCAGGCUCUCUGGUAAUUCCUGCUCAGGAUUUAAUCUUCAUUACCUUUGCUCUCAAUGGCACUUCACAAAAACAAGCCUAAUGCUCCAGAAUUAUAUUAUGUAUGUUACAAGACAAAAAUAUUUAGUUUAAAUAUUUUAUCUGUUUCCUCCUGGAUAACUCCUACUCCAUAUUUCUUUCAAGUUACUAAAAAUACUGAGCUUGAAUGUUCCUAAAGAACAGCCAGGUGCUGUCAGAAUGGGCAUAGGUGACACACAGAGGCCUCGGGGAGGUGCAGGUUGUCUGGCAGUCUGUACCCUUCUGUACCCUUGAACACCCAGGAACUUCAUUUGCUUGAUGUUGUGACAGCAGGUGCCCAACACAGAAACAGCAGAGGCACUGAGAACAGCAAGAAAUCAAAUUAAAAAUAUUCAGAAGUUCCAGACUAAGGUGUGCUCUACAAGGCAAGGUCUGCUAAAAUAUAUGAACAGAGGCAGCUGGAAAUAUUUAAUUUAAUUCCUGGAAAUAUUUAACAGGAAUAAAACCAUUUUCAAGAAAUAAUACUUCAGGGGACAGUCUGCAACUCCUAAAAGGAUGGAAUUUUUCCUUUUUACACUGGUCCUAGUAAACUACAUAGAUUGUUGAUUUCCUGCGCUUAUUUUUGUCCAAAAGGACAUCACUGAUCAAUACUUGUAAUGGAUACCAGUGAAAAUAUGGUUUUAUCAGUUAAUGAUUCUGUUACCUAUGGAGAAAAAGUUGUACAAAUAUAAAGCAUCCAUGAUAUAACUGUAUUCAAGCAAUGUGUGAAAAGCUCAUUUUAUUCUGGUGCAUUAGAGGCUGCAAUUUUUGUGUCAUGCAAACCCCCAAGGCAACAAGCAGUGUUGCAGUGGCAGCAGAAUUCAUCUGGUCUGUUGCCUGUCCCUCUGCAGAGAGGAUCUCCACUUGUGCUCCCAGCCCACUCCCAGCUCCAUGGCAUGACACAUCUGGCACUUGGACUAUCAACUCAGAAUUCUCAUUUUGCCAGUUACACAUUCAAGUUCAACCUUAAUCACAGAGCAAAUCCAUCAGGUUGGUGUACAGUUUAAUGUGUAAGCUGCUAUCUUAGUGCCACAAACAGGAUUUUAUCAGCAGUGCAGCAGCAAGAAUUGCACAAAGCUAGAGUAAGAAAUUACCAGGUUUUGCUGAGGAACACAAAGAUAUGAAAGGGAGUACUGAGAUUAGAGUACUAGGAAAGUUUGAGAAUGGCUGUAAAUUCUCCCAAUUUGAGAUUCAUGUGUAUUUAGAAUGAUCUCCAAGAAAAUAAAACAUCAACUUGCUUAUGGUUUUUGAAUAAAAUAAACCCCCUACGAGGUAUUUGUAAAAUAGAAAAUACAUGUCAUAAGUAAUGAAGAUUUUAAAAUUCUGUGUUUGUUUAUUCUUGCUUCCUAAAAUAAUCCUAAAUUAUUGUUGUAAGAAACAAGGCUGGUGGAAAGCAAUGUGUGAAAGUGACUAAGAGAAAAGGAAUCUUAAAUCUUCUUUGCCUCAAAGAAUUCUAAAAUAUUUUAUCUUCAUAAUUUAUUUUACCCUCUCAGAGAAAAAUUUCAAUGAACAUGAAGACAUAUUAUGAUUAUAUAUUUGCUGGUUCUCAAGAUAAAUUAAAAUAAUGACUUCUUAAAAUGCAUUUUGCUAUUUUUUGCAAUCUUCUUACAUAGAAAAUAGAAGAAAAAAAAUGGCUUUGAUUUUGGCAGGUUUUGUAAGGACAUAAUUCACACAAACACAGAAUGUGGGACUGUCAAAAUCCCCAGAAUACUUAAGUCUAUUUUUUCAUUCAGUUUUUUAUAAAAAACAGUUCCUAAAUAUCCAAGCCUUAUCUUAAAUCAGUAAAUCAUCAGGCUUGCCUUUGAACCUCCUACUGAAAAUUAGGCAUUUUAAUAUAAGAACUUUAUAACAAAAUAAAUAAAAUAUUGGGAAAAACAUACCCAUGAAAUAAAAAUACUCUGAUAUUGUCUGUUCCAGCCUUUCUGUUUUAAAGAAUGCUUGGGGAAAAACUGCCAGUUCUCCACAACCAGACAUAAAAACUUCAUUUUUUCUGUAUAAUUAGAAGAGAUGGGAUUUUUAAGUCGUGUGACUGGUUUUUACUGCUUGAAUAGUAAAUAAUCCCUUAUUUUUGGGAGAUCAAUUUGGCUCUUUCUCACAGAACCUUAUUGUCUUGUCAGUCUGUUAGUUUAUCUGUUUGAGUCUUCUGUACAAAUACCCUGAUUUAAAAACAAACAAACAAAACUUUCAGGUUUUGUCGUGAGAUGGAAACUGAUUGGUAAUUACCAUCCUCUGGUACUUCUGAAGGCACUUUGAGAAGCAUAAUGUCAGUUAUUCUCUCUACACAUACUUCUCAAUUACAAAGAUGUCUCGUGAAGGGGAGGUAUCAAGAACUUCAAAAGAAUGUAAGUUUUGAAUACCUUUUUAGUCCCAAUAACAUAAAAGGCAUCAGAUCAGUUGAGAUAAUUUAUGAUAAAAAACAAACAGGUGGUUUUUCUAGCAACCUGUUCUCUGUUCUAUUUCUACUGAAAGUUAACGUGAACUAUCAGGGUGGAAGAGUGCUACAGAACUGUUCCACAGUUUACCAGUUCACAAAAUAAGAAUGAAAUAGGAAAUAGUAAUUCUACAGAGGAUUCUGGUUAGUCCUUGUUCACCAAAGGCCUAUAGAUACACAUUCACCACAGGCAUAAAUCUACCAGUGUAACAGGCUGGGAAAAAAAAGACACACUGUCAUCAGUUUUGUUAUGUGGUGUAACAUUCAAAGUGUUGAAAAAGAUUUCUUUGUUAUGAAAUUAUGGACAUGUUUUAGCUUUGUUUUUAAGCAACAGUGUCUCAACAAAACCAAGAUGCUUAAUGCUGUGUUCUGAGAUCUUUUCUUGGUUUAUGGUUUGAAGCAUAUGAUUUUAAACUGAAACCAGGGCAGAUGUAAAAAUAUAGUGACAGUGUGUGCAAUUUAAAUUCAAAGGCUGUAAUUCUACAUUUUGUGGAACUGUCCUGAAUUGCAAGAUAAUGCAGCAAAGCUUGAAGACCAAGUGAAAAUAUUUACCUUUUUAUUACUGCUUUAUUUAGUGUUCAUUAGAACAACUUUUCCUAAUCAAAACUAUUGUAAUUCUGAAGCUAUUGUCUCUUGCAGAAUGGUUUUGCAACACAGCUUAAGCCCUGGUGGGAGGUUGCUGUUGAAGAAAGGGAAAGGUCCCACACAUCUUCCAUUUCCCUUCCCUGUUCACCACCACUGCUUGCUCCCACUAUUAACCCCAACUCAGCUUUAGUGCUGGGUGCAUGGCAGUUCACUAAAAUGACAGAAAAUUAUCCAAGCAAAAAGUGGGGGAAUAGUGCACUUCACCUUAAGAUCAAACAAGUACUCUACACCUGCUAAAAGGCAGAGGCUGAGUUGAUCUUCGAAGCAGGUACAGGGCGACGAGGGGUAAAAGAAGCCAAGCCAUUGCCUUUGGCAGUGGCAAACAUCUUAAUUCAGCCCAGCUGUAAUGUGAAAACAUACUCCACAAGUGAAAAAUCUCAGGGUAUUUAUAUUUAGCAUGGAAGUACAAAUUCUUUUCAACUAUCUUAGUCACAGGCAGCAGUUCAGAAUGUGUUUAUAACAAACUGAGCUUUAAGCAGGAGUGUGUGCGCAAGUAUUUCCCACUUUUGACAUUAUGUUCCUGUCCCUGUGCUGCCACACACUGUGCUUUCAGGAACUAAUUUACCAAUUAAAGCAAUGGCUCAAUAAAAAUGGCUUAAACUAAGCUUUUGCUGAUUCUGAUUUUUGCAAAAUGUCCACAAAAGCUCAUGUGGGUGAAUGACCUGAUUUGAACUGCCAUGCAACUACACAAAUAUCAGCCUGUUACAAAGAGGCAGAAAAACGUGCCUGAAGUUGAAAAGAGUGGCAGGAUUAUUUCCCUAUGUUCAGCACUUGUGAGACCAUAGUGGAAUAUUGCAUCCAGUUUUGGGGUUUCCCAAUACAUGAAAGACAUUGGCAUGGAGUUCAGGAGAAGGCCAACAAGAUUAUUUACAAGGGAUCUUCAAAGGUCCUUUCCAACCUAAAUUGCCCUAUAAUUCUGUGAACAACAGCUGUGGAAGAAGUGGAAGCAAGGGAAUACAGAUUUUUUUUUGAGCCAGGAUUGUUGGUAAAGCUGUUGUGCUGUGAAAACACAGGCCCAGGUUCUCCAGAGCAGGGGAGUGUUAACUUACUUUGGCAGUAAUUGAUUAAAAAACAUUCCACCCCCUUCUCUAGGGGACAUGGAGCUGCUGCCAAUUAUGGGGAUUAUAUCGAGAAAGAUGAGAUAAAAGAAGGAAGGACAGAAUUGCAGAAUUUUAAAAGGAUUGAAAAAUCAGAGGCCUUACAGAGUAAUAUGGACAAACAGGUGGGGGACAGCAGCUGCAAAGCUAUUGCUCUGAACUAACAGACACGGCAUGGAGUCAGGGAUUCCAUCUGCUGAUAUAAAUUGUUUUACACAAUCAGACUCUGUAUUGCAAUGGAAGUCUGUCAGAUCUCUGAAAAGGUAAACUGUAUUGCAAUGCAUGAAGAGGUUCAUAAAAAUAAUUAAUAAAAAAGUAAUUACGUACAAGUACGAAGAAUUGGUAUUUGCCAGUUGCACAACUUGAGUUUGCACAGGUUCUACUGCAAUCAGGAUAUCUUGUUCUAUAGCCAUUGGGAGCACAGCAUAGCCACAGUAAUCUAUGUGUUCUCCUAACAAAGAAACAAAGAAAAUACUUUGCAAUAAUUCUUUCUAGAAUAGCAAUAACACGAUUUCUACAGGGCUUCAGUGUUCUUUACUGGAUGAGACAAUUUCUUACUGUAGUUUCAACUCUUAUUACCUAAAGUUUGGGGCACAUUUCCUCCAUUUCUUAUUACUUCACAAGAAGUUUUUCUUUCUUUAGUGAUUUUUAUCUACUGCCUGUUUAUAAAUGGUCAUAUUUUAACACUGACUUACAAAAAUUAUAAAAAACCCCCACCAUGUAGAUUACUGCCCAAGGAUGAGAACUGUCAUGUGCAUACAAUUUCUGGACCUUUUUUCAAGAAGAUAACUACUAUAUUUAAAUAAUCAUUAAUACAAUCAAAUAGAAAAUGUAUGUAGUAAACAUCCUCUCCCUUGGGAAUAAUUCCCAGUUACCACAUGCUCGUUAGUCUAUGUGAGAUGUUCACAUAACACUGAUAUAAAAAUUAACAUUAACUGCAUAAUAAACUAAUUGACUUUUACAGCUCUGUUUCUCAAGAUCCUUUUACUACGUCUUCAAAUGUGUAGGGUUAUUUUAUGAACAUAUGCAAGAAACUGAGCUCCAGGGAGAACACAAUCCUAACACAGACAGAGGAAUCUAAAAAAUAAGGCUGCUGCAGAAAUAAAAAACUGGAAGCCUACUUAAUGCAAAGUGGAAGUAAGAAGACUGCAACAAGAACCAGAUGUUAGAAAAUUCCACAAUUACUUAGUUUCUACAUCUUUGUGUUACUGUUCAGCUACAUGUAUGCAAAUGUUUCAUAAGGUUUUUAUAAAUGGAAAGCUAAAAAAUUAAAUUUGUGGUGGUAUUUUAUUUUUUAAUAGAUCUUUCAGUACCUUUCUAUCUUUGUGCCCAGUUACAAAGCUGUAUUAGGUCUAUGAUUUCUCCUUCUUAUAAUCUCCCCUAGUAUUGACUGGUAUAUAAUCCACCAAUUAGCAAAAGCAAUUUCUGCCAUUUCAUUGUUCAAUCCCUUCUCUAGAUCGCAUUAAUAAUAUUAUAGUCCACCGGGGAAUCUGUUGGCAGAAUUCUAGGUGUUAACUUUAUUCCAUUUUGUGUCAGUAUUUAGAAUGCUGCUUUGUUUCACAGAUAUUUUUAUAGUAGCGUUGGUACCAAGAGACAACAAACAAAGCAGUCAUGAGGGCAUGUUUAUCUAAGUGCUGAUUGAUCUCUUUUUUUAAUGUGGGUUUUACAAGCAGGCGUGAUGAAAGGCUAUUUACAGGCUGUGGCCUUGAUGUUGCAAGACGCACACUGCAUUUCAAGCACCUACAUCGAGAAGAAAAUUGUCAGGAGCCUUAAAGCAAAGAGGCACAACUUCACACUUCCAAGUCUGGAAAUGCCGGACUUGUCGUAUCCGCGGGAUUGGCGGUGCAAAUGAAGUAGCCGGUGUUUUAAGAAGUGCCGUAGCGCAGCGCUAAGGCAGGCAGAGAGGCUCGCCUGUGCGCGUGUUGACUGCACACACCGAGCGCGGCUCCAUGGGCAGGAGCAGGCGCUGCCACAGGACGGGCCAGGCCAGCGCUGCUCCAGGGCCUUUUACAGCAAAAAGGACGAGAGAAUAAUCAGCAUUCCCCAAAAACUCUGGGGAAAAUGAUGUAGGCGAAAUGAUGGAUGAAUAAAUGAAUGAAUGAAUGAACGAUUCCUCCUGCUGCCCCAGCGCCACCCUGCGAGGGGCGUCAGGGCGGGCCGGGAUGCUGUGGGUGGGAGAAGGGGCCGGAGCCCGGGCAGCCUUCGCUCGUGUCAGGGAAAAACCUACGGAGUG